CCUACGGGAGGCAGCAGUGAGGAAUAUUGGUCAAUGGUCGGGAGACUGAACCAGCCAAGCCGCGUGAGGGAUGAAGGUACAGAGUAUCGUAAACCUCUUUUGUCAGGGAACAAAGGCGGGGACGCGUUCCCGGAUGAGUGUACCUGAAGAAAAAGCAUCGGCUAACUCCGUGCCAGCAGCCGCGGUAAUACGGAGGAUGCGAGGGUUAUCCGGAUUGAUUGGGGUAAAGGGGGGCGCAGGGGGACUGUUAGGUCAGCGGGAAAAGCCCGGGGUUCAACCCCGGCCCGCCGUUGAAACUGGCAGUCUCGAGUUGGAGAGAGGGAUGCGGAAUGCGCGGUGUAGCGGUGAAAUGCAUAGAUAUCGCGCAGAACUCC
rnacentral:rRNA from 1 species